GAAGCUUUCCCGCCGUACCCACCCCCAAUCUGCCGCCGCCGUCGUCGCCCCAGCCACAAGCUGAGGAGCGGAAAACAUCCAUCCGGAACGCCCAGGGAAGCGCGCUGCGCACGCGCCUUUCUUCCCGAGGAGGGGGCGGAGCCACGGGUGAAGGUUCCCGUCGUAUAGGGGAGUAGAGAAAGGCCGCGCCUGCUGAUUGGCUGCGAGGCCCAGGCGGCAGUAACAUAAAAGGUAGGUUCCCGGUGUGAAUUCACGAGAAGGGUCCAGGCAAGUGUUGCUUAAGGAUGGCGUGUCAGUGCGGCCGACUUUGUCAGAUCAUAGUUUCUGCCGUAAUUCCCUUCCCCGUAUAGGAUCACCCCAGCUUCUUGUUACCAUGUCUUACACCACUUGGCCUCAUAAAACCGGCCCAAUCACUCUUUAUUUUUUAUUAUUUUUUUUGCUGCUGUUCCUCUUCUUUUGUGGUUGGUAUAUCUAUAUCCGAAUCCACAUCCGGAGGAUUCUAGCAGAAGGCUGGAAUAACCAAGAUGGCUACAGCUGCCAAAGACGACGCGGAGUCCAUCCUCCCCAAAAUCAACAGGUCUGCGGGAUAGCCCUAGCCCAGGCCUGAAUCAGGGAAAAGUGUGUUCACCCAAAUCCAAACUGGCCAUUUCUCUUGGAGACCUACUGGAAAGCAGCAGCAGAGCUGAUUUGUUUCCUGGGACCUAUCUGCUGACAUGGAUCCAUGAUUAAUUGUUGCCGUGACUACACUUGAAAUGGGCAUCAUGCUGACUUAUAAGAUGAUCAGUGAAAUCUGUGAUACUUCCAACACUAAAGAAGUUACUCUGGUUUAACAAGUAAUUUACAGAUUGAACAUGUUCCUUGGUUUUACUUAAGAAAAAACCAAGACUGACUAUUCUAUCCUGUGAGCUACACAUAGUAGGUAUUAAUGAUCACCCUAUCUUGGAAGACUGGUUUUCCAAUCAACCUCUAGCUAUAAGGUCUUGUGGCAUUCUUGCCAUUACAGUGUCUCCCUCUACUCCUGCCAGAUGUAAGCCUGUUUUCUUUAGUACCAGCCUGUCCAAAGGAUUCACUAAGCUACAUGGAAAAGUGUACCAUUGCAAAAUCAGAGCUGGAAGAUACUAAAUGAUCAUCUACUCCAACAGCUUAGCAUCUCAAAGUAGUCAGCAGCAUCUCUUAAGAGGUGGUUGGUCCAGUGACCUAGAUUUGAAUUGUGCCUAGGACACUUGAUAGCUGUGGCCAUGGGCAAACAUAUCCCUAAAGUAACCUGAGUUUCUUUUAUUUUAUAUAAGGUUAAACGAAAAACACUUGUUUAUCUGAUUAUAUAAACAUCAAUUAUGCAGUUUCUACUUUAAAUUAUGGGGAGGUUACAAAUGAGACAACCUAAUUUAUUUGAGGAUAAUUUCGUUAAGUUCUUUCUUGUAACUUCUGUCCAUUCUAAUUUAAUGCCUGUUCUGCAUUAGUCUUCCUUGUAUUUGGGAACGGAUCAUUCCCCAUACCUCCCUUCUCUCUCAUCUUCUCCAGCCUAAUCUUUUUUUUUUUUUUGAGUGAGACAAUUGGGGUUAAGUGACUUGCCCAGUACCACACAGCUAGCGAGUGUUAUGUGAACUCAGGUCCUCCUGACUUCAGGGCCAGUGCUCUAUCCACUGUGCCACCUAGCUGCCCCUCAGCCUAAUCUUUAGGUCAGCUUUUCAUGUGUCCUGCUGGAGCCUCCAAUGAGACCCUUGAGUUACUUCUCACUGUCUAUGUGAUAGAUUUGCAGCUCCACUCUGGACAUUUGUAGCCCUGCACCAUCUAGACCUAACCGACAUUGCCAGUCUUCUCUUAAGACUAUUGCCCUUUAUACAAUAAACCAGAAUACACUAUGGGCUUGAACUGCUUU
rnacentral:lncRNA from 1 species